rnacentral:misc_RNA from 1 species
AAGUCGUAACAAGGUAACCGUAGGUGAACCUGCGGUUGGAUCAUUAAAGAAUGAUUUGAAGAUGGUUAAAAGUCUUCAAAAGCUUUAAAAGGUUGAAUGAAGGGAUUCGUUCCUUCUUCAAUCAAUUUAACCUUGUGUGAAUUUGUUCAUGUCUUUGGUGUGGAAUGACUUUAUGUAAUGUAAAGUAUCGCCCACCAAACCAUUUUAUUAAACAUUGUUUUAUAUUGAUUGUCUUUAAUUUUUAUUUCAUUAAAUUGAAAACAACUUUUGACAACGGAUCUCUUGGCUCUC